rnacentral:rRNA from 1 species
AACGAACGCUGGCGGCAUGCCUAACACAUGCAAGUCGAACGAGACCUCCGGGUCUAGUGGCGCACGGGUGCGUAACGCGUGGGAACCUGCCCUUAGGUUCGGAAUAACUCCCCGUAAGGGGUGCUAAUACCGGAUAAUGUCUUCGGACCAAAGAUUCAUCGCCCUUGGAUGGGCCCGCGUUGGAUUAGCUAGUCGGUAGGGUAAAAGCCUAUCACGGCGACGAUCCAUAGCUGGUCAGAGAGGAUGAUCAGCCACACUGGGACUGGGACACGGCCCAGACUCUUACGGGAGGGAGGAGUGGGGAAUAUAGGACAAUGGGCGAAAGCAUGAUGCAGCAAUGCCGCGUGAGUGAUGAAGGCCUUAGGGUUGUAAAGCUCUUUUACACGGGGUGAUAAUGACGGUACCGGGAGAAUAAGCUCCGGCUAACUCCGUG